GCUACGGGUGGCAGCAGUGAGGAAUAUUGGUCAAUGGGCGUAAGCCUGAACCAGCCAAGUCGCGUGAGGGAUGAAGGUUCUAUGGAUCGUAAACCUCUUUUAUAAGGGAAUAAAGUGUGGGACGUGUCCUAUUUUGUAUGUACCUUUUGAAUAAGGAUCGGCUAACUCCGUGCCAGCAGCCGCGGUAAUACGGAGGAUCCGAGUGUUAUCCGGAUUUAUUGGGUUUAAAGGGUGCGUAGGCGGCCUUUUAAGUCAGCGGUGAAAGUCUGUGGCUCAACCCUAGAAUUGCUGUUGAAACUGGGGGGCUUGAGUAUGUUUGAGGCAGGUGGAAUGCGUGGUGUAGCGGUGAAAUGCUUAGAUAUCACGCAGAACCCCGAUUGCGAAGGCAGCCUGCCAAGCCAUGACUGACGCUGAGGCACGAAAGCGUGGGGAUCAAACAGGAUUAGAUACCCGAGUAGUC
rnacentral:rRNA from 1 species